rnacentral:rRNA from 1 species
AACGAACGCUGGCGGCAUGCCUAACACAUGCAAGUCGAACGAGACCUUCGGGUCUAGUGGCGCACGGGUGCGUAACGCGUGGGAACCUGCCCUUAGGUUCGGAAUAACUCCCCGAAAGGGGUGCUAAUACCGGAUAAUGUCUUCGGACCAAAGAUUUAUCGCCUUUGGAUGGGCCCGCGUUGGAUUAGCUAGUUGGUAGGGUAAAAGCCUACCAAGGCGACGAUCCAUAGCUGGUCUGAGAGGAUGAUCAGCCACACUGGGACUGAGACACGGCCCAGACUACUACGGGAGGCAGAAGUGGGGAAUAUUGGAAAAUGGGCGAAAGCCUGAUCCAGCAAUGCCGCGUGAGUGAUGAAGGCCUUAGGGUAGUAAAGCUCUUUUACACGGGAUGAUAAUGACAGUAACGGGAGAAUAAGCUCCGGCUAACUCCGUG